rnacentral:rRNA from 1 species
AUACGUAGGACGCAAGCGUUAUCCGGAUUUAUUGGGUUUAAAGGGUGCGUAGGCGGACCCAUAAGUCAGUGGUGAAAGACUGUCGCUUAACGAUAGCAUUGCCAUUGAUACUGUGGAUCUUGAGUAUAGUUGAGGUAGGCGGAAUGUGUAGUGUAGCGGUGAAAUGCUUAGAUAUUACACAGAACACCGAUUGCGAAGGCAGCUUACUAAGCUAUAACUGACGCUGAGGCACGAAAGCGUGGGGAUC